rnacentral:lncRNA from 1 species
GACAAAAAAAUUUAGUGUCUAGUGAAAGUAAAAAGAAGAAAAACAGAGCUAAGCCAAGGAAAUGAUUUCUUUCCCACCUACAAUGCAUGAAAAGAAAUUAACAUGAAAAGGGUCUGAGGAAGACAUUAAUAUUUUGAUAGUGGCAGAAGAAUGUUAUUUACAAAAAUAAUGACAAAUGUUGAAGAGAAAAUACAGGCUUCCUAGCAACUAGACCAAAGAUAAGUAGCUGUCAUUUGAACACAGGCCCAUGGCACAAGUUCAGAAACGUAAAGUUACAGAGAAAAUAAAGACCCCCAGAGCAAAAUCACCACAGUCUCCAUGGAAAUCAAUUGGUUCAUUCUUCGUCUUAAGAGUCCAGCAUUCACUCAACAAACAUCUUAUGCUGCCAGGUUUCUCUAAUGCAGCAGAAAGAGAUACAGUGGAAGAAGAUUUAAGAGAAUAGAGGAGAAGGAGGAAAAGAGGGGAAAGAGGUGGAUGUUGUAAAAGGCCAUAUAGAAACCUAUCACUUUGUAAACUUCAUUUUCAGACUUUAAGUGAAGUUGCCUUAUACCGCCUUAUACCUACAUGUAAGACAUAGACACAUAUAUCCUACUAUGCAGAGUGAAACACAUCUUAUCAAGUUGUUGUUGUGGGGAUGGGGGAGUAUUCCAGAAAUCUUCCAAACAAUGGUAACGAUGGCUAUAUCUCUUGGUUGCUAUCUAGAACUUGAUCAUAAGAACCCAUCACUGAGAACAUCAUCUAUUUUGCCCAUAAGACUUGGAGAACUGAAGCAGGAACUAAGAUGGAGAUGUCCUCACCACUAACUAGCCCCUGCAGUGUUUGGAAGAUGCUAUUCACGCUGCUAGAUGAGAGAGAACAUGAACAGCCUUAUCCGGCUAUGAACUGUACC